UACGCGUACGCUCACUGCGGCUCAAGGUAUAACUCGCCUUGGUAAGACUUCCUAUAAGUCUAUAAGGGCAAUGUAUUUCACCCUAAUUAUUUGUUCCAAUUUGAUUUACACGUAAGUGCUUGGCGCUAUUAUGCCCUUAUCAAAGCGAAUUGUGGCUCUCACAGGCUGUAUGUAAACACAGAUGAUAUUUAAGUGCAUAAAAGCAGCUGAUAUUUUAAUAAUGUAGGUAAUAACCCUGGUAACCCUGAAAGAAAUAAAAAAAGUGUAGUUCUAUUUAAAAAAGUAGAGUAGUAAAGUGAUUUUAUUAUACUGUAUUUUUAAAGUUUCAUAAACAGUCUAGUGCUAGAAGUAUUGUUAAAAAAUGUGGGCACAUAGAGUUCUAAGAACAGGUGUGCGAGUACGCAUAAUCUGUGGUGUAAAGCAGUUCUUUUAGGCAUCGUGAGGUUAGCACUCAAGCAUAGAAAAAAACUUGCUGGGGUUCUACAGAAAUAUUAUUAGAAAGUUUAUAUGAAAAUAAG